rnacentral:rRNA from 1 species
GACAGAGGGGGCAAGCGUUGCUCGGAAUCACUGGGCGUAAAGGGCGCGUAGGCGGGAUGGCAAGUCAGUCGUGAAAUCUCUCGGCUCAACCGAGAAACGUCGGCUGAUACUGCCGUUCUUGAGGGAUGCAGAGGAGACUGGAAUUCCCGGUGUAGCGGUGGAAUGCGUAGAGAUGCGGAGGAACACCGAUGGCGAAGGCAGCCCCCUGGGCCAAUACUGACGCUCAGGCACGAAAGCGUGGGGAGCAAACAGG